GGGGAAUCUUGCGCAAUGGACGAAAGUCUGACGCAGCCAUGCCGCGUGAGUGAUGAAGGCCCUCGGGUCGUAAAGCUCUGUCCAAGGGGACGAAAAAGGUGUUGGUGAACAUCCAGCAUUUCUGACGGUACCCUUGAAGAAAGCACCGGCUAACUCCGUGCCAGCAGCCGCGGUAAUACGGAGGGUGCAAGCGUUGUUCGGAAUUACUGGGCGUAAAGCGCGCGCAGGCGGCAUUAUAAGUCGGGUGUGAAAUCCCUGGGCUUAACCCAGGACGUGCGCCUGAUACUGUGAUGCUAGAAUCUGGGAGAGGGAUGUGGAAUUCCUGGUGUAGAGGUGAAAUUCGUAGAGAUCAGGAGGAACACUCGUGGCGAAGGCGACAUCCUGGACCAAGAUUGACGCUGAGGCGCGAAAGCGUGGGGAGCAAAC
rnacentral:rRNA from 1 species